AAUGAUGAAAAAACAGAAGCUCGAAAACUAUCAGAUGGUGGGUGUGGAUGCUGCAAAGAGUAAAGAGGAGAAGAUGAAGAUAAUUUUCGACAAGUUUGAUGUCAACAAAGAUUCACAUUUAGGGAUAACAGAGUUGUUAGGAUGGAUCAUGGCAGUUGAACCCACAUUAAGUAACGAUUUGCAAAGGCUUCCAUUUCUCCUUCAAAAUACUUGGGUAACCCCUCUUUCCUAGCUGGUUCAAAAGGACUAUCCUAUAGUGGUUUCACUCACAUUUACGAAGAAGGUCAUCGUAACUUUGAUCAUGACUUCAAUACCAUUAAUAUUCAGCCCCCAAUUCACCAGGGAUAUGCCAUUCGAGGUAUUUUACAACAACAACAACGUAGCUUGAUGCUUCAAUCACAACUACAACAACAAUACCAACAACAAGAACAACACCGUAGUUUGAUGCUUCAAUCACAAUUAGUACAACAACAAGCACAACAAUGUGCAAGUCUAGCGACAAAUACUUUUUCAAACAACCUCAGAAACACAACGCAACAAGUGGGUGGAGGGAUUAGCUCUGCUGGGCCGGUGUCUAAUAUCGGGAUCACAGCACAACAAAUGGUACAAAUGAUUCAACAGCCCUUAAUAUUAUUCGGCAGCAUCUAAGAAUGUUGCUUUUUAGGCUAUCAUCUAGACUCAAAUCACAAAGUAUUUUACCAAACUACAAUCUUAGUAAUCUUUAAUCUUUGUUGGAAUUGUUAUACAUUUUGUCUUCCCUUUUCCAACUUUUUCUUGCAUUAGGUUACAAAGUUUAUUUGUUUAUAAAA